CAUUGCUCUGACGGAUGCUUUUAUUAGACCAAGCCGCUGAGGACUUGAGAGUUCGAUCUCUUGUCUGACUCGUGUAAUGGUGACUCUGGAUAACCAAAUUUCUGACAAGCGCACGUACUUCUCUUCUGAGCGAGACGGCGCUGCCACUUUCGAGUGUCUGCCUUAUCAGCUAUCAACCGUUCGUUAUGCGCGACCGAUGGCUUUGACGGGUAACGGGGAAUCAGGGUUCGAUUCCGGAGAGGCAGCCUGAGAGACGGCUACCACGUCCAAGGACGGCAGCAGGCACGCAAAUUACCCAAUCCCAGCAAAUGGGGGAGGUAGUGACGAAAUCUAACGAUGCGGGCGCCCUUUCUGGGGCCCCGCAAUCGGAAUGGGCACUUUCUAAACAACCUGUUGAGAACCUACUGAAGGGCAAGUCUGGUGCCAGCAGCCGCGGUAAUUCCAGCUUCAGCAGCAUCUAUUAAAGUUGCUGCGGUUAAAAGGCUCGCAGUUGAAUGUCUGUAUCGAGCGCAGGUCAGGUGGACGUUGGGGCGUGGAAGUACGGGCAGUUGGAUGUCCGGAGGGCCUUCGUGCUCAACGGCUCCUUCGGCUUUUCCACACACCCCCGUCCGUGACAAGCCUCCUCGCUCGGGUACAUAACGGGAAUCGGUCAAACGGAGUGUGGUCGAGGGUUGAGGUGCGUGGCUUCGGUUGCGUGCUUCUUCUUUCGGCUGCGUUAAGCUCCAUCGGUUUCACGGUCACCUUGAGUAAAUCAGAGUGCUCAAAGCAGUCGUAGGGGCCUUGCGCCCUGUGAACAGUCUUGACGGACUGACUUGGUUUUGCAUGGCAUGUCGGAAGACGACGUCGUGUGCUGGCUCAGAGGAUAAAUCAGUGGUACAAGCCAGCCUCGACGUAAUGAUUAAAAGGGACGGUCGAGGGCAUUGGUAUUGCGAGGCGAGAGGUGAAAUUCUGUGACCCCCGCAAGACCUCCUGAAGCGAAAGCGUCUGCCAAGGACGUUUUCAUUAAUCAUGAACGAAAGUUAGAGGAUCGAAGGCGAUCAGAUACCGCCCUAGUUCUAACCCUAAACGAUGCCAACCAUCAAUCCGCGCGUAGCACCCUUCUUAACGGGCUCGGCGGGCAGCUCCCCACUCACGGGAAACCAGAGCCUCUGGGUUCCGGGGGGAGUCUGGUUGCAAAGCUGAAACUUAAAGGAAUUGACGGAAAGGCACCACCAGGCGUGGAGCCUGCGGCUUAAUUUGACUCAACACGGGCCAUCUCACCAGGCCAGCACUCUUGUACGAUUGA
rnacentral:rRNA from 1 species